rnacentral:tRNA from 1 species
AGUUCUGAGGUGUUAGCACGUUAGAUUGCAAAUCUAAAGGAGCAGGAUAACUCCUGCCGGGGCUU